CUUGUGGACUGUUAUAGCAAAUGGAAGUAGAUUUUAUACGUUAUGAUAUAAAAACCAAACCAGACAGGAAGAAACAAGAA
ncrna:unclassified sequences RAGATH-18 RNA